rnacentral:rRNA from 1 species
CCUACGGGAGGCAGCAGUGGGGAAUAUUGGACAAUGGGCGAAAGCCUGAUCCAGCAAUGCCGCGUGAGUGAUGAAGGCCUUAGGGUCGUAAAGCUCUUUUACCCGGGAUGAUAAUGACAGUACCGGGAGAAUAAGCCCCGGCUAACUCCGUGCCAGCAGCCGCGGUAAUACGGAGGGGGCUAGCGUUGUUCGGAAUUACUGGGCGUAAAGCGUGCGUAGGCGGUUAUUCAAGUCAGAGGUGAAAGCCCGGGGCUCAACCCCGGAACGGCCUUUGAAACUAGGUAGCUAGAAUCUUGGAGAGGUCAGUGGAAUUCCGAGUGUAGAGGUGAAAUUCGUAGAUAUUCGGAAGAACACCAGUGGCGAAGGCGACUGACUGGACAAGUAUUGACGCUGAGGCACGAAAGCGUGGGGAGCAAACAGGAUUAGAUACCCUGGUAGUCCACGCCGUAAACGAUGAUAACUAGCUGUUCGGGUACUUGGUAUCUGAGUGGCGCAGCUACGACAUUAAGUUAUCCGUCCGUCGGGUAGGUACGGUCGCGAAGAAUUAAAACGUUAAAAGUAAAGUUAGUACGGCGUGAGACGUGCCGAACGGACGACGACGAGGGAGUAGG